GAGAGGAAUGGAGGAGGAUGAUGAAUCUCUAUGUAAGGAUUUGUAGAAGAAACGAGUAGUAACCAGAGUGACUUUGAUUCCCUUGUGUUGUAAGCGCCUGGAGAAUUGGAGCAGGGGAUUUAUAUGGCCUUGUCCUGGAUAUGUUAAGACCAAACAGUGAGCUAAUUUGCAGGAGGUAGGUUUCUUUCCAUUGUUCUCCAUUGUUCUCUCUUUCUGUUCUUGUUUUAUGCAUAUUGAUUGUUCGGAAAGUGCACAGUUUAUACACGAUGGUCGAUGACGUUAGUGGAUAUAUCCUUUGUCAAACAAGUACCCCACCAUCAAACUAGCAAUUGUUUUAUCUUAAUUAAAAUUCUCAAUUUAAGACUUAGAGAGUGUAACUACGUUAAAAUAUUUAUUAAAAUUUUUUUACUAUUUUAAUGAUUCUAUUAAGUUUGAAUCUAAAUUAAUCAGACCCAGCGUAAUCUUUAGAUACCAAAUAGUUUAAUAAAAAAAAAGUACCCAUCAAUUUCACUCGACUUUUAUGAAAAAGAGUGAAAAAAACCAUAGCCAUUCAAAUCCCAUCUCUAACAUCAUGGAAUCCAGAAGAAUUAAACUAUGCAUGUUAUACUAUUAAAUUAGACAAAUUAUUGUUUUUUCACAUGCAAUGCCAGCAGAUCUACAAAUGCACCUAUGUUUCUUGGUAAUCUAUUUAGUAAGAAGCAUGGAUAUUUAGGCCACACAGGUAAAAAAUUACAUUCCUAAAAUAGAUUUACAUUAUAUGUAUUCGAAGUCAUUGCUUACGCAUUUGUAGAGGAAUGCAUCAGGCCAAAAGUAAAUAAUUUCGGCCAACCCCCUCGUGAAGUGAUAAUCUUCAAAUCACCUAUUUACUAUUGAAAAUAUUAAGUUACCCCCUUAAAACUCGUUAUCUUUAACUAUUGACCAUCGUUGACUCAGAAAAGUACGAAAAUACCUUACCUUAACAGAAUAUUCAUGUAACAACAUUGUGAGACUAAAAAAAUAGUUGAUGUGUGACUAGUUAUUGGAAAAUGAAAAAAAAAUUGUUGAUAUAUAACUAGUCAUUGAAAAAUAAAUUAAAAAAUAAAGUGUUGAAAUGACUUAAUGAGUCUAAAUAAAUUGAUAGAUUUCCUAAAUCAAAUAUGUUAGUUAAAUAAAUUACUAGACAUGUCAUCAUAUAUAAAUUAGGAUAAUCUCAUUUUCGUCUUUUUCUUUCAUUUUUCUUCAUCUUUUCUUCCAUUUUUUUCUCAUCUUCACUCUUUCGUCUUUUCCUUUCAUUUGUUUUUUUCCUCAUCUUUACUCCUUCUUCAUCUUUUUUUUUUUUUACUUUUUUCUUUUUGUUCAUGUACAUGACUUCAGUAACUUUUUUUCUUUUCUUUCAUUUUUCUCAUUCUUACUCCUUCCUCUUUUCCUUUCAUUUGUUUUUUUUUUUCUCAUCCUUACUUCUUCUUCGUCUUUUUCAUCAUUUUUUUUUUUCAUGUACAUGACUCCAGUAGCAUUUUUUUUCUUUCCUUUCAUUUUUCUCAUCCUUACUCCUUUCAUUUGUUUGGUGAAACUCUAGUAGCAUUUUUCUUUGGUUCUUUGAUUUUUUUUUAUAUAUCUAUGUUUUCUUUAAGUACCUUUACAAAAUGAAAAAAGAGUUUCCAUUUGUAGCUUUUGAUUAAUUUCUAUAUUUAUUUUUUAAAAUAAAUUUUUUAAAUAUGUCAAGAUAAAAUUUAAUCCGUUAAAAAAAUUAGUCAUAUAGGCACAAAAUAAAAAAUAUUUUAAAGUUUUAGGGAGCAUACUAUAAAUAUUGGAAAUAUUUAUGUGUGUUUUGAAAAACCAAUAAGGAUUUGGACCCAUGAAAAUUAAUCUACCUAGAUUUGACUUUUUUUUUGUUAAUUGAUUGUUAGAAAAAUGUGCAGAUACUAUUUUAUCAUUUUAGCCGUUAAAAAUAACAGAGAGAUGAUGAGUUUUGGGGAGCAACUUGAUAUUUUUAAUAGUAAAAGAGCGAUUUGAAGAUUGUUACUUAACAAGGGGGUAGACCGAAAUUAACCCUUCUACUAAAUUAGACAAACUAUUGUUUUUUCACAUGCAAUGACAGCAGAUCUACAAAUUAUUGCCUUUUCACAUGCAAUGCCAGCAGAUCUACAAAUGCACCUAUGUUUCUUGGUAAUCUAUUUAGUAAGAAGCAUAGAUAUAUAGGCCACACAGGUCAAAAAUUACAAUCCUAAAAUAGAUUUGCAUUAUAUGUAUUCGAAGUCAUUGCUUACGUAUUUAUAGAGGACUGCAUCAGGCCAAAAGUAGAAAAUUAGGUGAUGAUAGUGCUAAUUCUUUGACCUUUGUCUCAUAUUGCUUUUACUAAUUGUCCCGUUAAUUGUUCAGUUCCCAAAUCAAUGGAGUGAAUGAAAAAUAUAUCACGGCAGGGAAGCUCAAUGGAGUUCACAGUGCGGCAAAUUUAUUGAAGCAAAAAAUCUUGGCAUACUUGAUUAAAAUUCAUAUUCAAAAUCAGAGGAGUUAUUGCAACAAAACUGAAUAGAGUCUAGGCCGAGAGCCGUUCUCUAUUUUUAUGCAGAUAUCAACUAAGUACAAUAGUUUAACCACACAUGGUGAUGGGGCAAACUGCAUUGCGGGAAAAAUAGAUUGACCAAUAUAUGGACGGCACGUAUCACUAUAAAUAAGAAAUGGUUAGAUAUCACAAGGAGCCAGCCUACCCAAGUAUACCAGGGAUGAGUGAAAUAAUAUAAGAAAUGCAGUAAAAGUAGUAUUAUCUCGGAUAUAGAGGUUAAGUUGGAAAAAAAUUAGUUUAUUUAGUAUCUCACAUGAAAUAAAAUAAAAAUUAUUUAACAACAGACGUUUUGAAGUAUUUUUUAAAAUAUAAAAAUUAAAUCGAUAUUUAAUUCAAAAUAUAAAAAUUAAACUAAGAAGAUGCUCCAAGUAUCCGGACCCUUAAACUAAUAUUAUACUUAUAUAUGUCUUCCAUUAUAGAUUAUUUGAAGUCAUUGCAUACGUAGGCGAUGGUGACUGGAUGCAUCUGCUCUUUGAAAAACAACAAGAAAUGGUGAUGAUACAUCAAAUCGCGUUACAUUCCUGUCGUAUACAACUUUGCUCUUUCUUCUCGUUUGGAACAUUCAUCAUAUCAUCAUCAAUCGUUAUAGGGAAUUUGUCUUAGAGCUCUUAAUUAAAGCUAACCAUUACCUACAUAUGGGUAAACAAAUAAAUAAUCAAACCUACCAAAAUGAGCAAUAACGAGAAAAAAAUACGGUGUCUACGAAUAAUAUAAUAUAUCGGAGCCCGGCACGAGGAGCUCCAAGUAACAACAAUCCAACGAUAUCAUAAUUACUAUUAUUGAUAAAUUAUAUAGUACAGACUAUGGUCACAUCGAUCUAAUUGAGGUCUUAUCGCUGGCAAGCGGUUGGCUUAAACUAAACGGAUAAAUACAACUGAUUUUCUUAUUAUUUAAUAUGUAUUUUAAUAAUAAGUACAACUGUUAAAUUAUAUUUAUAAAUUUGGGCAAGGUUAUCUGAAUUUACUAAAAUACGUUUUAAACUCAUUAUUGAAAUUUGAAAAUUAAAAUUUUACUCUACAUUACCACCUGUUAUAAUACCAAAUAUAUCCUUAACAACCAAAUUCCAUCCUAAUAUAAUUACUACAUACAUCCAUUAAACAUCACUAACUUAGAGAUAUCAACUGGUUGAAUUUUUCUAUUUAACUUAAUAAAAGUAUGAGGAUAACGUUUAAUCUAAAUCAAUCAAACAAAAUUUAAGUCUUGGAACUUUUCAGCCAAACAAAUAUGUAAGCAUUUGGGAUUGAAUUCAUUUAAACAAAUCAAAUAAAAAUUUUGAAAAAUAACUUUCUCUCUCUAUGAUUCUGUCCCUAGCCAUCAUUUUCAGAGUUAUCUCUAACAAAUAGCAAAAUUAAAAUGACAAUUGAAGUCGUCAUUUAAAACUAUAACUUAAAUUAGUUACAUAGGAUCAAAAUUCAUUUUUUAGCUGUUGAGUUUUGAAGCCAUUGUUUUACAAUCACCACAUAACUUGAAUUCCCCGACGCUUAAAAGUUGACUUUCGCCCAAUUACAAAUCAAGUAUAGGAGGUUCUAAUAACUUAGAAAUAUCAAUCUAAGAAUUAGAUUUGUUUCAUUUAAUUGUAUAGUUUAAUUGUUUAUAGAUACGUUCGUAAAAAGAAUUAGAGAAGACCGUAUAAUUUUAGGUGGAUGAUAAACUAAAAAAUAGUUUAGAGAUUGGUGUAUAAAGUAAAGUAUUUCAUUUAAUUGCAUAAUUUUGUCCUUAAUAGUAAAUUCAUUAAUGGAUAUUUAUUACCAAAUAAAUAUUUUCAAGUAAAGACGGAUUUGAAAAGUAUUUUGAUGAGUUCAAAUAUCUCCAACUUCAUCAAUUUUUACCUUACAACUACUUAUUCUACCAAAGCCCCAUGAUAGAUAUGACCUUUUUUUUUUCGCCCUUCCAAACAAGUUACAACAUCACACUUCCAAACAUGCCCUAAAUUAUUGAAAUUAUUUACAAUAAUUCGUGUAUUUUAUUAAUAAAAUAUCAAAAAUUACCGACAUGAUUGUAUCAGAAAAUUAAACCUGCGAUAUUGUUUUGGUACAAGUAGAAACGAGCUCCCGCUAGCAUUAUAAUUUUUAUUUUUGUCCUUGCUUUGGUAAAAAGUAUUACAAAUUAAAGAUAUUACAAAAAUCCAACAAAAUUAAAGAUAUUAAAAGCUUUUGGAGGAAAUCAAGUUGGCAACAAAGUCAUCAAUAUUUUUGUCCGAACUUCCACCUUUAGCCACGGCUUCUUUGGCAAAAUUGCUCCAUUCACCAGCAUUCUGUCUUAUCUCUUUGCCUCUCUCACCCUCUAAUAUUUCACGAAUGCAAUGUGCAAUUGCUUCUCUUCUGACAAUUCCUUUCUCAUCCGCUGGAACUUUAAGUCCCGUUUUCCAAACAUCCAUUAUGUAUUUAGCAUUAGUGCUUUGGUCACUCCACUGUGGCAUUGCCACCAUUGGAACUCCCAAGCUCAGAGCCUCCAUUGUAGAGUUCCAGCCACAAUGUGUCAAAAAACAUCCUGUUGCUUCAUGGGCUAAAACUUCUAAUUGCGGACACCAAUUCACAACCAAGCCUUUCUGGGACGUUUCAUCUGAAAAGUUUUCCGGAAGCUUAGCUUGUUCGGAUUCCCGUACAACCCACAAGAAAUAUUGGUUAGUUGCUUUCAGACCCCAAGCCAAUUCUUCCAUUUCCUCUACUUUUAGUUGUGCAUAACUCCCAAACGAUACAUAAACAACUGACCCUUUCGCCCGAUCAUUUAACCAUUUUAUGCAAGAUUCAUUAUUUGGCUUAAACAUGCUGAAACCAUAGUCUUUGUCAUCUUCAAGUUGCUUAUCCAAGUACAAGGACGGUACGGUUGGUCCAAUUGUCUUGAGUGACCAGAGUUUCCCCAGCCAUUCAGCUACCUGCACAAAAUAGAUUAAAAGUCAAUUAAUGUCAAAAAGCAUCUUACGAGACUGUUUGUUAAUUCAAUUGGUAAUUAAAAUCUUGUGCCAUAAUUAGGAUGUUUGGAAUUUGAAUCCAGACUCAUAGAUAUAAACUUAUAAUUACCUCUUCCUCCAGCUCAUAAAAUGUGUUGCAAAGAACCCAAUCAGCUUUGUCAAUAUUAUCAAAUUGAUAUUUUACCACCAUAUCAGAAACAGCAGGAUAUGAACCCAAAUCGUAAACGAAUGAAGGCAUGUCAUGAGGCUCAAGUGGAGGCAUUCCAGGCAACAACAAUUGACUGUCUGGAAGUGGAAGCAUGAGCAAGCCCUUGUUCACAUGGUAAUAUAUGCAAUCAACAGCACAAGAUUGAGUGAGGAAAGCAGCUCCAACCAGCCCAAACUUCUUAGCAACAUCGAGAGCCCAAGGCAAAAAUGAAUCAUAUACAAUGCAAUCGACGGGAACACCAGAGCCAUUCAUCUCCUCAACAAGCUCACAAAGGCUUCGAGGGCCAAUUUGCCAAAACUUCUCCAAGUAAGCUUCAAUACUCUCUGCUUGUGCAGACCCUCCUUCGUCGUAGCCAUCGGAGAUUGCCUCGAGAGCAAUGGAGGUGGACGAGGAUGACGAAUCUCUAUGUAAGGACUUGGAUAUGAAACAAGUGGUAACUAGAGUGACUUUGAGGCCUUUGUGAUCUAAGCGCUUGGCGAACUGGAGCAGAGGGUUUAUAUGGCCUUGUGCUGGAUAAGAUAAGACCAAACAGUGAACUAGUCUGCAGGAGGCAGCUUUCUUUUCAAUAUUCUCCAUUUUUCUUCUCCUCACACAAUUACUGGGCUAUAGCUAGCUCUCUGUUUCUGUGUUUAUAUACACGACGGAGUUUAUGGCUAGUGCCCAUUAAAACAAGUAAAUUUUGUAUCAAUUAAUCAAUUACAGUUGAAAUCUUUUGUAGCAUGAAAGAGUGACGUGAGGAACAAUUUCUCCACAAGUACAACAUUAAAUUAAUUUGUCCUCGUACUCUGCCUAAAUAAAUGUGACGAAGACACAUGCUUUAUCAUUUGAAGCAAGUAAAAAUCAAAUGCAAAACUUCUGUCAGGUUAGCUGGAUUGUGUUGUCUACUUGUUGUCUAGAAGUGUCUUAUGUACAAGUAAUGAGCAGCACACUUAGAGGCGAAGCUAGAUUUUUUCAGCGUGGGGCGGUGGGCUAAAAUGAUUUUUCUCUUCAUUACCGAUUAUUUUUAGGCUGGGCUAUAUUAAAAUUAUUUUUUAAAAGAAUUAUAAUAUAUAUUAUUUUUUUGAAAUUAAAAUUUAAUGUCAAGUUGAGUUUUUGUUGAGUAUUGUUGAGCGUUAAAUUAAUGAUAGUGAUUUUUUUUCUUUAGUUCUUUUAUUUAACAACUAUUGAUUCAAUGGAGAUAAAAUAAGAGGAAAUAAGAAUUUAUCUAUGAUUAUAUUUCAAACAAUUUAAAAAUAGAUAUUGAGUUGGCUCACAAUUUGCUAAACAAUAUUUGAUUAAGAAAAUUAUGAAAGAAAAUACUGAUAAAGUACUCCAAUGAAUCAUGUUGAAUUCAUACCAUUAAAUUGAAAUAAUUAUACCUCAAUUCAAAUUCCUAUAAUUCUAGGAUAAAAAAGUUAAGGAGUUAAUACUAUGCUUUUUUUAUUAAAAAAAAAAAUCAAAGUCAGAGGGUAAAGAGUAAGAGAGGCUUGGAUAAAGAGAAAUGAAUUGAGAUUGGCAUGAAUAAAAUAAAAAAAGUAUAAAGAAAAAUUGAAAUAUUAUUAAAAAUAUUAAUAAUACCACUAUAAAUAAAUCUAUAUAAAAUGAUCUAUUUGAAUUUUUCCCAAAAUUAUUGAUGUGCAAAGUUGCAAGCCCUCAAGUGGCUUGGUCACUGAGCACGCAUGCCUAAUAUCUGCCAGUUGAAAUGAGGAACUGAGAAUUAAAUUGCGUUUAGAGAAAACGAAAAAAAUGUGGUUAAUUCAUAAAAGUCUUUAAAGGCGGGCCUCAGUACUUAACAUAUCCAAUUCUGACGUCAUCGAAUUAACAAUCAGGCAAUGUCGGCAAAAUAAGUCAUCAUUGGCCCCCUCAAUGAAAGACUUAAAAACAUACAACAACAACAAUAUCAAUCAGUUAAGAAAUCCUCCAUUAUAAUUUAUUUAUAUAUGUCCAACCACAAUUAAGAAAGCCUCCAUUAUAAUUUUUUUUCUAAUGUAGACUUUUAUAUCUAUAUAUAUAUAUAUAUAUAUAUAUAAAUAGACGCACAUUUAAGAUUUUUGAAACACUUAUAAUAUAAUUACCUCUUUCUCCAGCUCACCAAAAUGUUUUGGAAAUAACUCAAAUCAACUUUGUGAAUGUUAUCAAGUUGAUAUUUCAUCACCACAUCAGAGAAAGCAAGAUUGACCCCAAAUCGUAGGUUUCUUCAGGUAACUUUCUUUUUCAUGUUCUGCAUUUUUAUUUUUUAUUUUUUUUGUAACUUUUCUCGUUUCAAAUCACUUGAACUAGCUUGCCUCUUUAUACAUUCAUGUUGCUUUACUGAUAGGAAAGUUCAAAAUUUUGUACACGUCAAAGUUGGUGAUCACAACCUUGCCAGACAAGUAAAUUUUUUUUUCUUUUUUCGAAAGGUUCAAACGCAUACGAAUUGAGUGGCCAUCAAGUAUGCAUGCAUUUGUUUAACUCUUCUCUAACAUGAAAGAUUCCAAAAGAAAAAAAAAAAUGCAAGUGAAGAAAACACGUGCUUUUAAUUGAAAAAGUCAAAUGAAAAGCAAUCUAACUCAAACUAAUUAUUGAAUCGUGACAUUAUACAUCAAUGAAAAAAAUAAAUGUUUAUUUAUUUUUCGUUGAGUUUGACUUACUAGUUGAUGUGCGAACUAUUAAUAUUUGUCUUAAUAAAUAAUUCAAAAAAAAUAUAAAAUGAGUACUUUUUGUCAACUUUUAAAAUAAAAAAAAAACAUGAGAAAAUAACCUUGAACAUAAUUUUAUUGGCAGUAGUUAAGUUGGAUAAGCUCCAUGGUAGAGUGCUGAUGAUAACCAUCAGAUUAUUACAGUAAGUACAUAUUUAAUACUUAUCUUUAUAAUCAUUUUGUCAUCAUCAAUGUUCUACUAUAGAGCUGAUCCAACUUAGUCAGACUCUAAUUUUAUUUUAUUCCAAAGUUUUACGAUUUAGCUGAUCAAACACUAGCGCUUCACCUUUGAUCUUUGGCAAAGUGUAUAAAAGUAAAAAGAUUUCAAAUUUUUGGGGCUGAUUAAUAUCAAACAGUGUAUAUGCUGUACACGAACUCAAACGCAUUCAACCGACAAGUCGUGUUGAGGAAGAAUGUUCAUAUAAGUUGUCGUUUACUGUGUUGUUAAACCCAAACCGACAAUGGCAAUAAUGUCUUCCAAGGCCAUUAAUUCAGAUACGCGUGACAUAUGUGAUUAAAUAGAAUUAAAACACUUCAAAACGACGCAAUAAAAUUGCGGCCGUCCUGAAAUCACUUAAGCUUGCACGUGUGGGUCACGUGUGUUUGGUAGUUAUGGUGGUUAUUUUUUAUGUGAGAACCAGUUGGUGGCUAGCAAACCCAGAAACUUUGAACAUUAUAAGGCUGGUUCUGGUGCAAUCUUCUUGGUCCUAAUCGAGAAAAUAGAGAGAUAGAGACAGAAAAUUUUGUUGCUUGUAUUCUUUGUAUAAUUCUUUUUUAACUCUUGAAUUUGAUAGAGCGAAAGCUUGAAACUUAUUUCCUCAGUGGAUGUAGGCAUCAUAAUCAGGUGUUGAACUACUUAAUUCUUGUGUGUUGGUGUCUGUUUUUAAUCUGUUCUUGAUCGAUAUUGUAGGAUUUGAAUUUCUUAAUUUGUUAAUCUUGUAUCUUGAAGAUAGAAUUAGGCCUUGGGAUGAAUCUAAUCUAUAAAGAAUUGAAUUCACAGCUGUAUAUGCAGAAGAGACAUAAGAAUUUACCAUCCCAUUGGAAGUUAUUCCACUAGCUAGUGUCACCCCAUGACAGAGCUCCAACACCAAUUUCACUUUCUCUUUGACUGUUUUGAGAUAUGCUGUUCUAACGAGGAUUUGAAAUCUUAUUACUAUUCGUUCAUUUGUGGCUGCUGGUCGCCUGCCCCUAAGUUCUUUUCCUUAAUUAAUAAAAAAUAAAAGAUAAUAAUAACUUGAAUUGACGGGCCAGGCUAGGGAAUUGAAAUAAUUUUCAAGUUCGGCUGCAAUUUUUUUUUUCAAUACUGCUUACACAUUAUAUUAAUGUAUUAUAUAUAUAUAAAUAUUUAUAACUAUUAUUAGAGUAGAGAUAUGAUUUUUACAGACGAGGGAUAUCUCUGUUCCACUCGUAUUUUAUAAAAGAGAAAGACAUAUAAAUUAACUCCACAUAAUUUUUUAUUUAAUUAAAAGAGAUUAAAUCUUAAAAAAUCAAAUCACUACCUUUAUAAUCUUAUUUAACUUUGAGGACAGUGAUUCCAAUAGCCCGGCUGCAAAUCUUUUCGAAUAAACUUGAAUCUUUACUUUCGUAAAAAUGUAACGUAACAACUGACAAGACACUACACUAUUGGCGCUAUACAGAUCCAACUUAGCCAGCUCCUGAUUGGUUAGCUAGCUACCAAACAAAAAUAAUUGCAUGCUUUUUAUCCAUAUGCAGGACAGGUGUGGUGCAUGCAUUGGGUGCGUAUGUUACAGAAUCUGUAAGGUAGACAGGUCCUUAUUUGCAUACGUAAUGCAGUAUGCGGAGGGGAUAACACAUCAAAUCAUGAAGACUGCUGCCGUAUACAACUUUGCUUUUUCUUUCUCAUUGGAUGAAUCAUACAUCAAAUCAUAAAAAAAUUUUAUUAGAGCUAUUAAAGCUAACCAUUUUGUACAUGUCGAUUAAUAAACAAAUAAUCAAACCUAACGAGCGACAACGGGAAAUAGAAGGUGUCUCCAAAAAAAAUACAGAAGCUCAAGGUAACAGCAAUCCAACGAUAUCAUAAUCAAUAUUGUUGAGAUAUGGACACAAUAAAAAUGAUCACACUGAUAUAAAGAUCAUGUUUGGAGUUUCUGCCAAGCAGUUGGAUUUAAACAAAAUGGAUCAGAUGGACUUUAAUUUUUAUUAUUUAAUAUAUCUUUUCAGAAAAAUAUUUUAUACUUUUAAUUAAUUAAUUUUUAAAAUGAAUGUGUUAGAAAUAAUUUAAUUUUAACGCGAAUUUAUUCAAUUUUAAUAACUAUGUUUACAAAUUUCAUAAACUUUUAUCCUACAACUAAUAACUUAUCAAAUACCCAAUCACCUUAAUUCAUGGUUGUUUCAAUAAGUAAAAUCUUAUGGCACAAAAUUUUUAGAUUUAAUUUGUUCUAACCUUUGUACAGAUUUUCUUUUUUUUUUAACAAAGUCACAGAUAAUUGUCAUUUAUUGAAUAAAAAUAUUUAUGUAAUUUGUUUGUUCCUGCAAUAAACAGAAUUAUGCACAAAGUAAUAAUAAAACAGAGAACUAAUUAUCAUUAAGACGACAAAAUUGAAAAUUGACCGAUAAAAACAUGAGGCUUGGUUACAAAGGUUUGUCCUUGUGGAUUUCUCUACUCAUUUUAUCUUAGACUCGUCUUUCUGAGAUCCAUAGAUUAUUGGUUAAUGACAAAUAAAAACAAUAAACUAAAUGAUAUGCGUUUAAAUUGGCCACAUAUAAGUAAAUUUAAUUUAAUUUAAAAUUUCGACACAGGUUGUAGAAAUCAAAUGCAAACUUCUAUCAGCUGAGCUGGAUGGUUUUGUCUCUCUGUUGUCUAAAAACAGGUAAUGGGUCCUAUCAGAAAAGCUGGAAAAAAAAAAAAAGAAAAAAUAAUUAAAAAAUAAUUUGCAUGGACAGGCCACGAAAGGUCAAAAAGUUUCAAGUCAGGUGGCUGCUAUUACAAAUCUUUUCAGGAUAAACUUUUGUCCCAUAUUUGUUUGUAGUCAUUGCAUACGUAUGCGAACGUGACUGCAUCAGGGCUAACCGGCUUAGGCCAUCAAUUCAAUAAAAUAUUUACGUGACGAAAUGAAACUGCUAAAAUUUUUAUUCAAUAAAAUAUCUGUCUCAUUGGUUUUGUUAGUGCAACACGUGGCAGCACAUGCAAACUCCUGCAGUUCUGCUUUAACUACAUGUUCCAUUAAUUUCUAAUUCUUUUAACCUGAAAUCUUUAUUGAUUCAAUUUAAAUAUACACAGAUAACAAAUAUAACCCUACUUUUUACAUCAAAGAUGAAUUUUCGGACUUCUAUUAAUUACAGUAAAUAAUCGAUCGAACGAUUGUAUUUUCACAUUAGAUACUUGAAUGAUUAACAAGCUUAUUAAAGAUUUCUCACUAAAGAAUAUCUUUCCUAAUAAAGAAAUUCCGGGAGCAACUGCAGCUCAAAAAAUCAUAGUCUAAAUUAUUUAAAAAACACUCACGUCUGUGUCAUAAAAAUUAAAGUGAAUUUACAUCACAAACCAGAGUCAUUUAAUAAAAGCAACUUAUAUAUCUUCUCUUUUUGUUAAGAUUAUUAUUGAAUAUUAUAUUUAUUAAAUAUUAUCAAUUUUUAUUUCACAAUUAUAAUUUUUAUUUCAUAACAAUUUUGACUUAAAAGCCACAACACCUAACAGAGUGUAAAUCAGACUUUUGGCAUAUAUUGUUCUUUUAAAAGCAUAGAAUAUUUCAAGUAUGAGCUUUAUAGGGUUAAAAAAAUAAAAUAAAUAGCAUUAUAACAAAUGAAAAUACAGGGGGAUUAUUAAGGGGGAGCCAUCAGAAUCUGAAUUAUUGGAAGUAAGAGAAUUAGAAAGGACGAAAAGGAGGAAAUGAGGUCACCAUGGAAAUGAGCUCAUUUCCGGAACCUGAAAGUAUAGCUUUUGCGUAAGGGGGACGGGGGAAUGUGCCCCCCGGGGAUCAUAGCAUUAGGUUUCAAAAAAAAUCUCUUCUCCGAGGAAGGCCGCAAUUCUGAUAGGAAUUGAGUCUAGGCCUUCACCUCACCAAAAGGGGGAGAGGGGGAAUCCCUUUCUCGCCGAGAAAUCCAGUGCGUUAGCUACCAUUUAAAAAAAAAAAACUCGUUUUUGCGUUCCUUUCCAUUUUUCCAAUCUGUUUCCCAACCAAUCUAGAAAUCAAACAUACAGCAACAACAAAAAGAAUAUCGAUAAUAAUUAUCAAGUAUCAAGAUCUCGAUGGAACAAAAGUAUCAGAUAUCCAUGAAAUAAAAUUAUCAAUAGAUUUAGAUCAAUGAAAAUAUUUUCACAUUGGAAUUGAAAUUUUACAAAUUUAUUAGAUAGAUAACCCUUUGUAUAUAAUCUUCAGGUUUGAGCUAAUUUUCUAGCUAAUUUAUAUUACAUAAAAAUUAAAAAAUUAUUAAUUGACAUUAUAGUUAAUAAAAUAAAAAUUAAAAACAUAUUUAUAUAUAAUGGGGAUUGGGGUGGGGGUGGGGUGGGGAGUGCAAUACCAAACCCCACCCCGUUAACAAUUUGGGGAUUACUUUUCCUCCACUCCCCACCCCAUUCCCCAAAAAUUAUUAAAAAUUUUUCUCAUUUGGGGUGGGGUUCCAUGGGCCCCAAACCCGUGGAGGAUUUUGCCAUUUUUGGCAAAAAACAAUGCAUUGUUGCGUUCCUUUCCAUUUUUUCAAUCCGUUUCCCAACCAAUCUAGAAAUCAAACAUACAGCAACAACAAAAAGAAUAUCGAUAAUAAUUAUCAAGUAUCAAGAUCUCGAUGGAACCAAAGUAUCAGAUAUCCAUGAAAUAAAAUUAUCAAUAGAUUUAGAUCAAUGAAAAUAUUUUCACAUUGGAAUUGAAAUUUUACAAAUUUAUUAGAUAGAUAACCCUUUGUAUAUAAUCUUUAGGUUUUUCCUAAUUUUCUAGCUAGGCUUUAUAUUUUAAAAAAAAAACUACAGAAAAUGUCUCAGCCAUUACUUUUGUAACUUUUAAAUUUUUCAAACAGUCGAACAAUAUAUUUAUUUGAUAUAAUGCAACAGGUGAAAAUAAAAAAAUAAUUGAAUAUAUUUUAAUGAAAACAAAUAUAAAGCAUGAAUGCUUUAGGUAAUUUUUCAAACUAUAGAAGCUAACUAGCUCAAACCCAGGGACUAAAUUAACAUUUAUCCAAUUUAUUAUUACAAAAUCUUAACAAACUCAGAUUCAUUAUCCCAAAUCUAAAAGUAUUGUUGCAAUGAAACUAAAAGUUCCGUAACCAUUCUCUAUUUUAUGUCAACAACCACACAAAGAAUUACAAGCGUUUGGAGCAAACCAAAUUGGCAACAAAUUCAUCAAUAUUUUUGUCUGAACUUCCGCCUUUAGCCACGGCUUCUUUGGCAAAAUUUCUCCAUUUACCAGCAUUCUGUUUUAUCUCCUUGCCUCUCUCACCCUCCAAUAUUUCACUAAUGCAAUGUGCAAUUGCUUCUCUUCUGACAAUUCCUUUCUCAUCCGUGGGAGCUUUAAGUCCCAUUUUCCAAACAUCCAUAAUGUACUUGGAAUUAGUGCUCUGAUCAGUCCAUUGUGGCAUUGCCACCAUUGGAACUCCCAAGCUCAGAGCCUCCAACGUAGAGUUCCAGCCACAGUGUGUCAAAAAACAUCCUGUUGCUUCAUGUGCCAAAACUUCUAAUUGUGGACACCAAUUCACCACCAAGCCUUUUUGGGAUGUUUCAUCUGAAAAGUUUUCCGGAAGCUUAGAUUGUUCUGAUUCCCUGACAACCCACAAGAAAUACUUGUCACUUGCUUUCAGACCCCAAGCCAAUUCUUCCAUUUCCUCUAUUUUUAGUGUUGCCGCACUCCCAAAUGAUACAUAAACAACUGACCCUUUUGCCUGAUCGUUCAACCAUUUAAUGCAAGAUUCAUUACUUUGCUUAAAUAUGCUGAAACCAUAGUCUUUUUCAUCUUCAAGUUGCUUAUCCAAGUACAUGGACGGUACAGUUGGUCCAAUUGCCCUCAAUGGCCAGUGCCUCCCCAGCCAUUCAGCUACCUGGACAAAAUAGAUUUAAAGUCAAUUAAUGUCAGAAAGCAUGUUGCAUGGCUACUUUUUGGUUCAAUGGGUAAAAUCAUGUGAUAUAUGUGUUUAGACUACUUUUUGCCCGAUCAUUUGACCAUUUAAUCGAGCUUUUUUAUAUACUCACACUUAAUAAAAGAAAAUCAGGAUCCUUAAUUAUUUUAAAGACAUAAAUAAAUAAAGAUGAAAAAAUAUACAUUUCAAUGCAGUGUAUUUUAUCUUAUAAUAUAUUAGAAUUUACAUAUUUUUUUUAUUUUUUUUUAUCUUAUUAACUUUUAUAUAAUAAAAAAUUCUUAAUUAAAAGCUCUAUAUAUAUACACACACUAAAGUAAAAGGAAAAUUAUUGAAAAACUUGUAAUAGAAUUUACCUCUUCCUCCAACUCAUAAAAUGUGUUGCAAAGAACCCAAUCAACUUUGUCAAUAUUAUCAAAUUGAUUUUUCAGCACCAAAUCCGAGAUAGCAGGAUAUGAGCCCAAAUCGUAAACGAAUGAAGGCAUGUCUUGAGGCUCAAGUGGGGGCAUUCCGGGCAGCGAAAUUUCAUUGCCUGUAAGUGGAAGUUUGAGAAAGCCCCUAUUCGCAUGGUAAUAUAUGCAAUAAACAGCACAAGAUUGAGUAAGAAAAGUAGCUCCAAGCAAGCCAAACUUCUUAGCCUGCUGUACGGCCAAGGCGGAUGUACGGUACAGCAGAAAAUGUCUCAGCCAUUACUUUUGUAACUUUUAAAUUUUUCAAGAGUCGAACAAUAUAUUUAUUUGAUAUAAUGCAACAGGUGAAAAUAAAAAAAUAAUUGAAUAUAUUUUAAUGAAAACAAAUAUAAAGCAUGAAUGCUUUAGGUAAUUUUUCAAACUAUAGAAGCUAACUAGCUCAAACCCAGGGACUAAAUUAACAUUUAUCCAAUUUAUUAUUACAAAAUCUUAACAAACUCAGAUUCAUUAUCCCAAAUCUAAAAGUAUUGUUGCAAUGAAACUAAAAGUUCCGUAACCAUUCUCUAUUUUAUGUCAAUGGCCUUGUCCUGGAUAGGUUAAGACCAAACAGUGAGCCAAUUUGCUGGAGGAAGCUUUCUUUUCAUUAUUCGCCAUUUAUUUUUUGCUCUCUCUCUCUCUCUCUCUCUCUAUAUAUAUAUAUAUAUAUCCCG
rnacentral:lncRNA from 1 species